rnacentral:rRNA from 1 species
GACAGAGGGUGCAAACGUUGCUCGGAAUUACUGGGCGUAAAGGGCGUGUAGGCGGGAAGGCAAGUCGGGCGUGAAAGCCCCAGGCUCAACCUGGGAACUGCACUCGAAACUGCCUUUCUUGAGUGCCGGAGAGGAAAGCGGAAUUCCUGGGUGUAAGAGGUGAAAUUCGUAGAUAAUCAGGAGGAACACCAGUGGCGAAAGGGCGGCUUUCUGGGACGGUAACUGACGCUGAGAACGCGAAAGCGUGGGGAGCAAACAGG